rnacentral:tmRNA from 1 species
GGCAUCGAAACGAACGGAUAGCGAUUGCGAAGGUGUGGCGCAAAAGUGAAGCUAAAGCACCUAAGGUAAAUUAAUAGGUCUGGUGCCGACCUUAAUUUGCUCGAAAACCCAACGGCAACUAAGCAUGUAGAAAGCGCGACAGUUUCCUUGUCUGGACCAGGGUUCGACUCCCUGCAGCUCCACAA